UACGAAGGGUGCAAGCGUUACUCGGAAUUACUGAGCGUAAAGGGUGCGUAGGUGGUUUGUUAAGUCUGCUGUGAAAUCCCCGGGCUCAACCUGGGAAUGGCAGUGGAUACUGGCAAGCUAGAGUGCGGUAGAGGGUAGUGGAAUUCCCGGUGUAGCAGUGAAAUGCGUAGAGAUCGGGAGGAACACCAGUGGCGAAGGCGGCUACCUGGACCAGCACUGACACUGAAGCACGAAAGCGUGGGGAGCAAACAGG
rnacentral:rRNA from 1 species